CCUCUCUAGGGUUGCAUCAUGUUCCCUUGUGUGGAUGGACCACGUUGUGUUUUUCUUCAUCCACUGAUGGUCAUUUGGGUUGAUUCCACUUGAGAUGUUUUUUAACCUACGACUCAGGACACCUGGACUAGAUUAUUCAUGAUUUCUUCCAGAUCUGCGAUCUUAGAUUUAAAUAAAUAGCAGUGUGCCAUUUGGGUCACAGAUGUUAGUUCUGUGUGAAACAGAUCUAUAGAUAGGAAGAAGAAGUUUAACGAAGAGAAGAUACAGACGGGCUGUGAAAAGUACCUGGGAAGAAAUUGAAACUGCAACAGGGAAAUGAUGAUAAAGUUUUUGGUGUGCAAUGGAUUAUAAAAGGCGCUAUACAACGGAGAGAAUGUGUCCUUAUUGUGUUCAGAGGAUGAGAAGGCUAAUUGUUUGGUCUGCCUGCGAGUCCUGAGGAAUUAUUAAGGAAAACCACACCUGUUUCUGCUUUCUCAUCCUGAGGAAUUAUUAAGGAAAACCACACCUGUUUCUGUUUUCUCAUCCUGAGGAAUUAUUAAGGAAAACCACACCUGUUUCUGCUUUCUCAUCCUGAGGCAUUAUUAAGGAAAACCACACCUGUUUCUGCUUUCUCACUCGCAGUGAGAGAGUUCCUGGGAGAGAUGCAGUACCCGGAGGGUUCAUUAUCAGCCCCAGCCGCUGAUGCGCUAUCAGCCUGCGGAGGAGGGAGCCCUGGGGCUUCACUAACCACGGGCUGGAGCUGCCACGCACCAGCUCCAGUGAGAUCGGGGUUUUCGUUUUCAUCCAACACUUUCAACCCAGUUUCUGAUGAAAGGGCUUCUUCCAGUCACCAGAGAAACGGAGUUAAUUUACAUCUGUCAGGCCUCUGAGCCCAAGCUAAGCCAUCAUAUCCCCCGUGACCUGCACUUAUACAUCCAGAUGGCCUGAAGUAACUGAAGAAUCACAAAAGAAGUGAAAAUGUUCCUGCCUUAACUGAUGACAUUACCUUGUGAAAUUCCUUCUCCUGUCUCAUCCUGGCUCAAAAGAUCCCCCACUGAGCACCUUGUGACCCCCACCCCUGCCAGCCAGAGAACAACCCCCUUUGACUGUAAUUUUCCACUACCUACCCAAAUCCUAUAAAACGGCCCCACCCCUGUCUCCCUUUGCUGACUCUUUUCAGACUCAGCCUGCCUGCACCCAGGUGAUUAAAAAGCUUUA
rnacentral:lncRNA from 1 species